rnacentral:rRNA from 1 species
CAGUAGCCGCGGGAAUACAGAGGGUGCAAGCGUUAAUCGGAAUUACUGGGCGUAAAGCGCGCGUAGGUGGUUUGUUAAGUUGGAUGUGAAAGCCCCGGGCUCAACCUGGGAACUGCAUCCAAAACUGGCAAGCUAGAGUACGGUAGAGGGUGGUGGAAUUUCCUGUGUAGCGGUGAAAUGCGUAAAUAUAGGAAGGAACACCAGUGGCGAAGGCGACCACCUGGACUGAUACUGACACUGAGGUGCGAAAGCGUGGGGAGCAAACAGGAUUAGAUACCCGCGUAGUCCCUGUCUCUUAUAC